rnacentral:rRNA from 1 species
UAAACCCUACGGGGCGCAGCAGUAGGGAAUCUUCCACAAUGGACGAAAGUCUGAUGGAGCAACGCCGCGUGAGUGAAGAAGGGUUUCGGCUCGUAAAGCUCUGUUGGUAGUGAAGAAAGGUAGAGGUAGUAACUGGCCUUUAUUUGACGGUAAUUACUUAGAAAGUCACGGCUAACUACGUGCCAGCAGCCGCGGUAAUACGUAGGUGGCAAGCGUUGUCCGGAUUUAUUGGGCGUAAAGCGAGUGCAGGCGGGUCAAUAAGGCUGAUGGUGAA